UUCUGGGCUUUGUCGAAGACCGAUUUACUUUUUAUAAGAAUAUUGGUUCAAAACGAAGCCCAAAGCAAUUUUUGUUACGACGGUCACUGAUUCUGGCAUCUCUAGCUUCUUCAGUAACUUUUACGUGCAAUUACAAAU
rfam:Drosophila ananassae strain TSC#14024-0371.13 Ctg01_19339, whole genome shotgun sequence.